rnacentral:rRNA from 1 species
CACCCCGGGUUCCAGCGCCAUCACUGAUCGCCGUACUAACGAGGCCUGUGGCCGCUUAACUUCACAAAUCGGACGGGAUGUGGUGCACUCGGCCAA